rnacentral:rRNA from 1 species
GGACUACCGGGGUAUCUAAUCCUGUUUGCUCCCCACGCUUUCGUGCCUCAGCGUCAGUGUUGAUCCAGAUGGCCGCCUUCGCCACUGAUGUUCCUCCCGAUCUCUACGCAUUUCACCGCUACACCGGGAAUUCCACCAUCCUCUAUCACACUCUAGCGAGCCAGUAUCCAUCGCCAUUCCCAGGUUGAGCCCGGGGAUUUCACGACAGACUUAACUCACCGCCUACGCACGCUUUACGCCCAGUAAUUCCGAUUAACGCUUGCACCCUUCGUAUUACCGCGGCUGCUGGCAC